UACGUAGGGGGCAAGCGUUGUCCGGAAUCAUUGGGCGUAAAGAGCGUGUAGGCGGCCCGGUAAGUCCGCCGUGAAAGUCCAGGGCUCAACCCUGGGAUGCCGGUGGAAACUGUCGGGCUAGAGUCCGGAAGAGGCGAGUGGAAUUCCUGGUGUAGCGGUGAAAUGCGCAGAUAUCAGGAGGAACACCGGUGGCGAAGGCGGAUCUCUGGGCCGAUACUGACGCUGAGGAGCGAAAGCGUGGGGAGCGAACAGG
rnacentral:rRNA from 1 species